rnacentral:hammerhead_ribozyme from 1 species
GUACUGUUGAAGAGUCCCAAACUAGGAUGAAACUGCUGUCCAGUAC